rnacentral:rRNA from 1 species
UUAAGCGACUAAGCGUACACGGUGGAUGCCCUGGCAGUCAGAGGCGAUGAAGGGCGUGCUAAUCUGCGAUAAGCGCCGGUAAGGUGAUAUGAACCGUUAUAACCGGCGAUACCCGAAUGGGGAAACCCAGUGUGAUUCGUCACACUAUCAUUAACUGAAUCCAUAGGUUAAUGAGGCGAACCGGGGGAACUGAAACAUCUAAGUACCCCGAGGAAAAGAAAUCAACCGAGAUUCCCCCAGUAGCGGCGAGCGAACGGGGAGGAGCCCAGAGCCUGAAUCAGCAUGUGUGUUAGUGGAAGCGUCUGGAAAGGCGCGCGAUACAGGGUGACAGCCCCGUACACAAAAGCGCAUGUGCUGUGAGCUCGAUGAGUAGGGCGGGACACGUGGUAUCCUGUCUGAAUAUGGGGGGACCAUCCUCCAAGGCUAAAUACUCCUGACUGACCGAUAGUGAACCAGUACCGUGAGGGAAAGGCGAAAAGAACCCCGGCGAGGGGAGUGAAAAAGAACCUGAAACCGUGUACGUACAAGCAGUGGGAGCACAGGUUUACCUGUGUGACUGCGUACCUUUUGUAUAAUGGGUCAGCGACUUAUAUUCUGUAGCAAGGUUAACCGUAUAGGGGAGCCGUAGGGAAACCGAGUCUUAACCGGGCGUUAAGUUGCAGGGUAUAGACCCGAAACCCGGUGAUCUAGCCAUGGGCAGGUUGAAGGUUGGGUAACACUAACUGGAGGACCGAACCGACUAAUGUUGAAAAAUUAGCGGAUGACCUGUGGCUGGGGGUGAAAGGCCAAUCAAACCGGGAGAUAGCUGGUUCUCCCCGAAAGCUAUUUAGGUAGCGCCUCGUGAAUUCAUCUCCGGGGGUAGAGCACUGUUUCGGCUAGGGGGCCAUCCCGGCUUACCAACCCGAUGCAAACUGCGAAUACCGGAGAAUGUUAUCACGGGAGACACACGGCGGGUGCUAACGUCCGUCGUGAAGAGGGAAACAACCCAGACCGCCAGCUAAGGUCCCAAAGUCAUGGUUAAGUGGGAAACGAUGUGGGAAGGCCCAGACAGCCAGGAUGUUGGCUUAGAAGCAGCCAUCAUUUAAAGAAAGCGUAAUAGCUCACUGGUCGAGUCGGCCUGCGCGGAAGAUGUAACGGGGCUAAACCAUGCACCGAAGCUGCGGCAGCGACGCUGAUGCGUUGUUGGGUAGGGGAGCGUUCUGUAAGCCUGCGAAGGUGACCUGUGAGGGUUGCUGGAGGUAUCAGAAGUGCGAAUGCUGACAUAAGUAACGAUAAAGCGGGUGAAAAGCCCGCUCGCCGGAAGACCAAGGGUUCCUGUCCAACGUUAAUCGGGGCAGGGUGAGUCGACCCCUAAGGCGAGGCCGAAAGGCGUAGUCGAUGGGAAACGGGUUAAUAUUCCCGUACUUGGUGUUACUGCGAAGGGGGGACGGAGAAGGCUAUGUUGGCCGGGCGACGGUUGUCCCGGUUUAAGCGUGUAGGUGUGUGUUCCAGGUAAAUCCGGUUCACUUUAACACUGAGGCGUGACGACGAGGCACUACGGUGCUGAAGCAACAAAUGCCCUGCUUCCAGGAAAAGCCUCUAAGCAUCAGGUAACAUCAAAUCGUACCCCAAACCGACACAGGUGGUCAGGUAGAGAAUACCAAGGCGCUUGAGAGAACUCGGGUGAAGGAACUAGGCAAAAUGGUGCCGUAACUUCGGGAGAAGGCACGCUGACACGUAGGUGAAGUGAUUUACUCAUGGAGCUGAAGUCAGUCGAAGAUACCAGCUGGCUGCAACUGUUUAUUAAAAACACAGCACUGUGCAAACACGAAAGUGGACGUAUACGGUGUGACGCCUGCCCGGUGCCGGAAGGUUAAUUGAUGGGGUCAGCGUAAGCGAAGCUCCUGAUCGAAGCCCCGGUAAACGGCGGCCGUAACUAUAACGGUCCUAAGGUAGCGAAAUUCCUUGUCGGGUAAGUUCCGACCUGCACGAAUGGCGUAAUGAUGGCCAGGCUGUCUCCACCCGAGACUCAGUGAAAUUGAACUCGCUGUGAAGAUGCAGUGUACCCGCGGCAAGACGGAAAGACCCCGUGAACCUUUACUAUAGCUUGACACUGAACAUUGAGCCUUGAUGUGUAGGAUAGGUGGGAGGCUUUGAAGUGUGGACGCCAGUCUGCAUGGAGCCGACCUUGAAAUACCACCCUUUAAUGUUUGAUGUUCUAACGUGGACCCGUAAUCCGGGUUGCGGACAGUGUCUGGUGGGUAGUUUGACUGGGGCGGUCUCCUCCUAAAGAGUAACGGAGGAGCACGAAGGUUGGCUAAUCCUGGUCGGACAUCAGGAGGUUAGUGCAAUGGCAUAAGCCAGCUUGACUGCGAGCGUGACGGCGCGAGCAGGUGCGAAAGCAGGUCAUAGUGAUCCGGUGGUUCUGAAUGGAAGGGCCAUCGCUCAACGGAUAAAAGGUACUCCGGGGAUAACAGGCUGAUACCGCCCAAGAGUUCAUAUCGACGGCGGUGUUUGGCACCUCGAUGUCGGCUCAUCACAUCCUGGGGCUGAAGUAGGUCCCAAGGGUAUGGCUGUUCGCCAUUUAAAGUGGUACGCGAGCUGGGUUUAGAACGUCGUGAGACAGUUCGGUCCCUAUCUGCCGUGGGCGCUGGAGAACUGAGGGGGGCUGCUCCUAGUACGAGAGGACCGGAGUGGACGCAUCACUGGUGUUCGGGUUGUCAUGCCAAUGGCACUGCCCGGUAGCUAAAUGCGGAAGAGAUAAGUGCUGAAAGCAUCUAAGCACGAAACUUGCCCCGAGAUGAGUUCUCCCUGAGACUUAGAGUCUCCUGAAGGAACGUUGAAGACGACGACGUUGAUAGGCCGGGUGUGUAAGCGCAGCGAUGCGUUGAGCUAACCGGUACUAAUGAACCGUGAGGCUUAACCUU